rnacentral:rRNA from 1 species
UGAGGAAUAUUGGUCAAUGGGCGAGAGCCUGAACCAGCCAAGUAGCGUGCAGGAUGACGGCCCUAUGGGUUGUAAACUGCUUUUAUGUGGGGAUAAAGUGCGUGACGUGUCAUGCAUUGCAGGUACCACAUGAAUAAGGACCGGAUAAUUCCGUGCCAGCAGCCGCGGUAAUACGGAAGGUCCGGGCGUUAUCCGGAUUUAUUGGGUUUAAAGGGAGCGUAGGCUGUCUAUUAAGCGUGUUGUGAAAUUUACCGGCUCAACCGGUGGCUUGCAGCGCGAACUGGUCGACUUGAGUAUGCAGGAAGUAGGCGGAAUUCAUGGUGUAGCGGUGAAAUGCUUAGAUAUCAUGACGAACUCCGAUUGCGCAGGCAGCUUACUGUAGCAUAACUGACGCUGAUGCUCGAAAGUGCGGGUAUCAAACAGG